GGGUGACGAGCGGCGGACGGGUGAGUAAUGUCUGGGAAACUGCCUGAUGGAGGGGGAUAACUACUGGAAACGGUAGCUAAUACCGCAUAACGUCGCAAGACCAAAGAGGGGGACCUUCGGGCCUCUUGCCAUCAGAUGUGCCCAGAUGGGAUUAGCUAGUAGGUGGGGUAACGGCUCACCUAGGCGACGAUCCCUAGCUGGUCUGAGAGGAUGACCAGCCACACUGGAACUGAGACACGGUCCAGACUCCUACGGGAGGCAGCAGUGGGGAAUAUUGCACAAUGGGCGCAAGCCUGAUGCAGCCAUGCCGCGUGUAUGAAGAAGGCCUUCGGGUUGUAAAGUACUUUCAGCGGGGAGGAAGGUGUUGAGGUUAAUAACCUCAGCAAUUGACGUUACCCGCAGAAGAAGCACCGGCUAACUCCGUGCCAGCAGCCGCGGUAAUACGGAGGGUGCAAGCGUUAAUCGGAAUUACUGGGCGUAAAGCGCACGCAGGCGGUCUGUCAAGUCGGAUGUGAAAUCCCCGGGCUCAACCUGGGAACUGCAUUCGAAACUGGCAGGCUAGAGUCUUGUAGAGGGGGGUAGAAUUCCAGGUGUAGCGGUGAAAUGCGUAGAGAUCUGGAGGAAUACCGGUGGCGAAGGCGGCCCCCUGGACAAAGACUGACGCUCAGGUGCGAAAGCGUGGGGAGCAAACAGGAUUAGAUACCCUGGUAGUCCACGCCGUAAACGAUGUCGACUUGGAGGUUGUGCCCUUGAGGCGUGGCUUCCGGAGCUAACGCGUUAAGUCGACCGCCUGGGGAGUACGGCCGCAAGGUUAAAACUCAAAUGAAUUGACGGGGGCCCGCACAAGCGGUGGAGCAUGUGGUUUAAUUCGAUGCAACGCGAAGAACCUUACCUACUCUUGACAUCCAGAGAACUUUCCAGAGAUGGAUUGGUGCCUUCGGGAACUCUGAGACAGGUGCUGCAUGGCUGUCGUCAGCUCGUGUUGUGAAAUGUUGGGUUAAGUCCCGCAACGAGCGCAACCCUUAUCCUUUGUUGCCAGCGGUCCGGCCGGGAACUCAAAGGAGACUGCCAGUGAUAAACUGGAGGAAGGUGGGGAUGACGUCAAGUCAUCAUGGCCCUUACGAGUAGGGCUACACACGUGCUACAAUGGCGCAUACAAAGAGAAGCGACCUCGCGAGAGCAAGCGGACCUCAUAAAGUGCGUCGUAGUCCGGAUUGGAGUCUGCAACUCGACUCCAUGAAGUCGGAAUCGCUAGUAAUCGUAGAUCAGAAUGCUACGGUGAAUACGUUCCCGGGCCUUGUACACACCGCCCGUCACACCAUGGGAGUGGGUUGCAAAAGAAGUAGGUAGCUUAACCUUCGGGAGGGCGCUUACCACUUUGUGAUUCAUGACUGGGGUGAAGUCGUAACAAGGUAACCGUAGGGGAACCUGCGGUUGGAUCACCUCCUUA
rnacentral:rRNA from 1 species